AAAGGGCGCGUAGGCGGUUCUGUAAGUCGAAUGUGAAAGCCCAGGGCUCAACCUUGGAAGUGCAUCCGAAACUGCAGAACUUGAAUCUCGGAGAGGGUGGUGGAAUUCCCAGUGUAGAGGUGAAAUUCGUAGAUAUUGGGAGGAACACCGGUGGCGAAGGCGACCGCCUGGACGAAGAUUGACGCUGAGGCGCGAGAGCGUGGGGAGCAAACAGGAUUAGAUACCCUAGU
rnacentral:rRNA from 1 species